CAACUUUCAGCAAUGGAUCUCUUGGCUCUCGCAUCGAUGAAGAACGCAGCGAAUUGCGAUAUGUAAUGUGAAUUGCAGAUCUACAGUGAAUCAUCGAAUCUUUGAACGCACAUUGCACUCCUCGGUGUUCCGAGGAGCAUGCCUGUUUGAGUGUCAGUAAAUUCU
rnacentral:rRNA from 1 species